AAGUCAUAACAAGGUUUCUGUAGGUGAACCUGCAGAAGGAUCAUUAUUGAAUUGUAAAAAUGGGAGGUUGCUUUCGAGCACCUCUCUACACAUUUUCUUUAUUCCUAAACACCUGUGAAUCGUUGCUGAGUUUGCUCAGUGGCACCAAUUUUAACACAAACACUUAUAGUUUUGAACGUAUAAAACAAAAAACAAAAUAUAA
rnacentral:misc_RNA from 1 species